UACGUAGGGGGCAAGCGUUAUCCGGAUUCAUUGGGCGUAAAGAGCGCGUAGGCGGCUUGUUAAGUCAGGCGUGAAAUCUGGGGGCUCAACCCGCAGCUUGCGUCUGAAACUGGCAGGCUUGAGUCUGGUAGAGGAAAGUGGAAUUCCUAGUGUAGCGGUGGAAUGCGCAGAUAUUAGGAGGAACACCAGUGGCGAAGGCGGCUUUCUGGGCCACGACUGACGCUGAGGCGCGAAAGCUAGGGGAGCAAAC
rnacentral:rRNA from 2 species